UACGUAGGCAGCGAGCGUUGUUCGGAGUUACUGGGCGUAAAGGGUGCGCAGGCGGUGGAGCAAGUCUGUUGUGAAAUCUCCCGGCUUAACCGGGAGGGUGCGGCGGAAACUGUUCUGCUGGAGUGAGGGAGAGGCAAGCGGAAUUCCUGGUGUAGCGGUGAAAUUCGUAGAUAUCGGGAGGAACACCGGUGGCGAAGGCGACCAUCUGGACGGAUACUGACGCUGAGACGCGAAAGCGUGGGUAGCAAACAGG
rnacentral:rRNA from 1 species